rnacentral:rRNA from 1 species
AAUGAACGCUGGCGGCGCGCCUAAUACAUGCAAGUCGAGCGAGAAGACGUAGCAAUACGUUUGUAAAGCGGCGAACGGGUGAGGAAUACAUGGGUAACCUACCCUAGAGUGGGGAAUAACUAGCCGAAAGGUUAGCUAAUACCGCGUACGCUCCUUGGACUUCGGUUCAGGGAGGAAAGCGAUGCCGAGGGUAUCGCGCUCUUGGAUGGGCUCAUGUCCUAUCAGCUUGUUGGGAGGUAACGGCUCACCAAGGCUUCGACGGGUAGCUGGUCUGAGAGGACGAUCAGCCACACUGGCACUGCGACGCGGGCCAGACUCCUACGGGAGGCAGCAGUAAGGAAUAUUGCGCAAUGGGCGAAAGCCUGACGCAGCGACGCCGCGUGGGGGA